CUAUUUUAGGGCUGCACUCUCAGCAUAUGGAAGUUCCCAGGCUAGGGGUCAAUUCAAAGCAAUACCUGCUGGCCUAUGCCAUAGCCACACAGGAUCUGAGCCGUGUCUGUGACCUACACCACAGCUCAUGGCAAUGCCAGAUCCUUAACCCACUGAGCGAGGCCAGGGAUUGAACCCACAUCCUCAUGGAUCCUAGUUGGGUCGUUAACUGCUGAGCCACAAAGGGAACUCCAGAGCCUGCUUUAUCUUCCGGAACUUGUAUCAAACCUACGCCUGGUCACAGAAAUGCUCUCUCAAGAUUCCAUCACUGCUUUCAUUAAGUAACAUACCCAAGAACAAGAAUAUUGAUUUGUUUAUAUUAAAAUAUAUGCAAGUCAGGACAUGGCUUUAAUAUUUCAUUACUGACACCUAAGAUCUGCUAGAAUAUGCACAUCUGGCUAUAUUCAAAUUGCCUGUUUGUCUGUGUGUCUUUCCUCUCAAGUGGGAAUCAGUUAUAGUUUUAACCCAGCCCCUAGCAUUUGACAGGUUCUUAAGAGACAUUUGUUGAACAGAACUGGUAACAGAACAAUGAAAUUGACAACUAAAUGUUAAUUCUGUGGCAAUUAAAGAAACAACUGACACAAACGGAAAACUAUAUAUACGGAAUUACAAACACAGGAACAAUGGUCAUUUCAACCUUAGUGAAAAAAAAUUAGUAAUUUUAUUUAUUUAUUUGGCCACUCCCAUUGUACAUGGAAUUUCCCAGGACAGUAACAAACUCACUCCAGGACAGUAACAAACUCACUCCAUGUCAGUAAUCAGAGCUACAGCAGUGACAACAUCAGAUCCUUAACGAGCUCAGCCACCAGGGAAAUACAGCAGCAGAUUUUUAAAAGACAAUAUCUAGUGCUACUUAGGUGAUGGUCAGAGGUGGCAUCCACCAUGUCAUGCACAGCAACAUGCGUGGCCGUGUGACAUGACCUGCUAUACUAUAUGAUAAUGCUAUCAUGUUAGAAGGAGUUUGGCAAUACACUGACUACAUUUUGUGUGUGUGUGUGUGUCUUUUUGCCUUUUCUAGGGCCGCACCCAUGGCAUAUGGAGAGGAGGGGACUGACAGGUGACAGGUGAACAUGGAAGAGGAGGGUUGGUGACCUUCCACGCACUGGCAUGAGUGCCAGCAAACUUUUCUGCAAAGGGAACAGAUGGUAAACACCAGAGGCUCUGUGGACUGUACAGUCACUGUCAAAACGACUCAGACCUGCUGCAGCAGCAAGUGGCGGUGUUCCAAGAAAACUUUUUGACAAAACAGGCAGUGGGCAGGAUUUGGCCUGUAGGCCAAAGUUCGCUGACCCGCAGAUGAGGGAAUC
rnacentral:lncRNA from 1 species